rnacentral:rRNA from 1 species
UACGUAGGGCGCAAGCGUUAUCCGGAAUUAUUGGGCGUAAAGCGCUCGUAGGCGGUUUGUCGCGUCUGCCGUGAAAGUCCGGGGCUCAACUCCGGAUCUGCGGUGGGUACGGGCAGACUAGAGUGAUGUAGGGGAGACUGGAAUUCCUGGUGUAGCGGUGAAAUGCGCAGAUAUCAGGAGGAACACCGAUGGCGAAGGCAGGUCUCUGGGCAUUAACUGACGCUGAGGUGCGAAAGCGUGGGGAGCAAACAGG